UAACACUAACUGGAGGACCGAACCGACUAAUGUUGAAAAAUUAGCGGAUGACUUGUGGCUGGGGGUGAAAGGCCAAUCAAACCGGGAGAUAGCUGGUUCUCCCCGAAAGCUAUUUAGGUAGCGCCUCGUGAAUUCAUCUCCGGGGGUAGAGCACUGUUUCGGCAAGGGGGUCAUCCCGACUUACCAACCCGAUGCAAACUGCGAAUACCGGAGAAUGUUAUCACGGGAGACACACGGCGGGUGCUAACGUCCGUCGUGAAGAGGGAAACAACCCAGACCGCCAGCUAAGGUCCCAAAGUCAUGGUUAAGUGGGAAACGAUGUGGGAAGGCCCAGACAGCCAGGAUGUUGGCUUAGAAGCAGCCAUCAUUUAAAGAAAGCGUAAUAGCUCACUGGUCGAGUCGGCCUGCGCGGAAGAUGUAACGGGGCUAAACCAUGCACCGAAGCUGCGGCAGCGACGCUGAUGCGUUGUUGGGUAGGGGAGCGUUCUGUAAGCCUGCGAAGGUGUGCUGUGAGGCAUGCUGGAGGUAUCAGAAGUGCGAAUGCUGACAUAAGUAACGAUAAAGCGGGUGAAAAGCCCGCUCGCCGGAAGACCAAGGGUUCCUGUCCAACGUUAAUCGGGGCAGGGUGAGUCGACCCCUAAGGCGAGGCCGAAAGGCGUAGUCGAUGGGAAACAGGUUAAUAUUCCUGUACUUGGUGUUACUGCGAAGGGGGGACGGAGAAGGCUAUGUUGGCCGGGCGACGGUUGUCCCGGUUUAAGCGUGUAGGCUGGU
rnacentral:rRNA from 1 species